GAUGAACGCUGGCGGCGUGCUUAACACAUGCAAGUCGAACGGAAAGGCCCAAGCUUGCUUGGGUACUCGAGUGGCGAACGGGUGAGUAACACGUGGGUGAUCUGCCCUGCACUUCGGGAUAAGCCUGGGAAACUGGGUCUAAUACCGGAUAGGACCACAUUUUGGAUGGUGUGGUGGAAAGUUUUUCGGUGUGGGAUGAGCUCGCGGCCUAUCAGCUUGUUGGUGGGGUAAUGGCCUACCAAGGCGUCGACGGGUAGCCGGCCUGAGAGGGUGUACGGCCACAUUGGGACUGAGAUACGGCCCAGACUCCUACGGGAGGCAGCAGUGGGGAAGAUUGCACAAUGGGCGGAAGCCUGAUGCAGCGACGCCGCGUGGGGGAUGACGGCCUUCGGGUUGUAAACUCCUUUCGCUAGGGACGAAGCGCAAGUGACGGUACCUGGAGAAGAAGCACCGGCUAACUACGUG
rnacentral:rRNA from 1 species